GUGCCAGCCGCCGCGGUAAUACGGAGGGGGCUAGCGUUGUUCAGAAUUACUGGGCGUAAAGCGCACGUAGGCGGAUCAGAAAGUUGGGGGUGAAAUCCCGGGGCUCAACCUCGGAACUGCCUUCAAAACUAUUGGUCUUGAGUUCGAGAGAGGUGAGUGGAAUUCCGAGUGUAGAGGUGAAAUUCGUAGAUAUUCGGAGGACACCAGUGGCGAAGGCGGCUCACUGGCUCGAUACUGACGCUGAGGUGCGAAAGCGUGGGGAGCAAACAGGA
rnacentral:rRNA from 1 species